GUGUCAGCAGCCGCGGUAAUACGAAGGGUGCAAGCGUUACUCGGAAUUACUGGGCGUAAAGGGUGCGUAGGUGGUUUUUUAAGUCCGUUGUGAAAUCCCUGGGCUCAACCUGGGAAUGGCAGUGGAUACUGGAAAGCUAGAGUGCGGUAGAGGGUAGUGGAAUUCCCGGUGUAGCAGUGAAAUGCGUAGAGAUCGGGAGGAACACCAGUGGCGAAGGCGGCUACCUGGACCAGCACUGACACUGAGGCACGAAAGCGUGGGGAGCAAACAGGAUUAGAAACCCUGGUAGUCC
rnacentral:rRNA from 1 species